AUUGAACGCUGGCGGCAUGCUUUACACAUGCAAGUCGAACGGCAGCGCGGGCUUCGGCCUUGCGGCGAGUGGCGAACGGGUGAGUAAUGCAUCGGAACGUGCCCAGUAGUGGGGGAUAGCCCGGCGAAAGCCGGAUUAAUACCGCAUACGACCUGAGGGUGAAAGCGGGGGACCGAAAGGCCUCGCGCUAUUGGAUCGGCCGAGGUCGGAUUAGCUAGUUGGUGGGGUAAAGGCUUACCAAGGCGACGAUCCGUAGCUGGUCUGAGAGGACGACCAGCCACACUGGGACUGAGACACGGCCCAGACUCCUACGGGAGGCAGCAGUGGGGAAUUUUGGACAAUGGGGGCAACCCUGAUCCAGCCAUGCCGCGUGUGGGAAGAAGGUCUUCGGGUUGUAAAGCGCUUUUGUUCGGGAAGAAAUCCUCUGGGCUAAUACCCCGGGGGGAUGACGGUACCGGCAGAAUAAGCACCGGCUAACUACGUG
rnacentral:rRNA from 1 species